rnacentral:lncRNA from 1 species
AGUAAAUACUAUGGAAGAACUCCGUAAUAGCUGGAAUAGUUUAAACAUUAAUUUAAAUUCGGUUAUUGCACAUCUGAAAUCUCUUCAAGCUCGUUGGGAAGAAAAUAACGAAGCCAAAGAUAAUCUUGAAAAAUGGUUAAGUUCAUUGGAAUCUAAAAUAAAUGAAAAACAUGAUUUUAUAGCAGAUGUUGGUGAAAUGAAAACAUUGCUUGAAAGAUUAAAUCAUACAAUAAACGUGAUCGAUGAAAAAGAAACAGAUUUCAAUCACAUUAUCACAGAAACUGAAGAACUCUCAAAAUUUUGUAAAAAUAAUCAUUUGAAUUCUGAUAUCAAACAAUUAAAAACUAGGAAAAAUAUUCUUAAAGAAAAAACAUUGAAACAUAAAGAUAACUUAGAAAAUGAAAUUUUACAGCACUCUAAUUAUUUACUAGCACUUCAAGAAUCUGAAAAAUGGUUAUUGCAAAUAUCAUUUCAGUUGAUGGCUCAUAACUCAUUAUAUAUUACUAACAGACAACAAACUCAAGAACAAUUAAAACAUCAUCAAGUUUUAUUAAAUGAAAUAAUUCAGUAAUAAUUAUUUGUUUUAAAUAUAUAAGACUGUUAUUACUAAAUAAUAUUUGUUUGCUUAUAGGUAUCAAGAAGUAUUAGAUGAUUUAAAAUCUAAGGGAAAAACUCAAAUAAAUCGCUAUAUUGCAUCUACUCCAUCAAUUCAGUCAGUAGUGGAACGACAAUUGAAUAAUAUUCAAGAUAGUUAUAAUUCAUUGUAUAAUACUGCUCAACAAAUAAAAGCUAGACUAGAAGAAUCUCUAUUAAAAUUUAAACAAUAUGAAGACAUGUUAGAAAGUAUUUGGUCAAAUUUAGAUGGUUAUCAGCCACUUGUAAAUAAAACUAUAAAUGAAAAUUGGUCUCUUGAAGAAACCAAAGAGCAAUUAACACUUUACCGGGUAAGAAUAUAUUUUUACAAUAUUAUUAUAAUUAUAAGUAUAUACCUGCAUCUGUUUUUUUUUUUAUAUAAUAUAAAUUUUGAUUAUUGAGGUACUAAAAAUAUAACAUUAUUUUACUUUUCUAAUGUGUAUCACCUAUUGUAAUUAUCUAAAUAAUCAAAUUAAUAAUAUGAAAUAAAAUAAACUACACUGUUUGCCUAGAAAUUAUUAAACAUUGUAUUGUUUUCAAUAACUUGUCAAAAUAAUAUUGUUACAGUUAUUUUGUCUGAUUUUUAUUUAAAAAAAGUUAGGAAAGUAAAAUACAUAAAGGUAUAAAAAAAAAAAAAAUCAACAGUGAAAUAAUACAGUCCUCGCUGUGGUCUGGUUAUAACCUAAAAAAAAAAGAAUAAUAUAAAAUUUAAUAAAUAUUGUUACUAUAUUUUGUCUGUUUACUUUCUCCCUCAAAAGCAUUGAUAACAUCAUAAUACAAUGGCCUGUACCACUAAUUAUAAUUUUCCCCAAAAUUCUAAAAAUAUUCAUUAAACAAACUAUUUAAUAAUAUUUCUUUUAAACUAAUAAAUUAAAUGUAUUCUUAUAGGAUCUUCUGAAUAAAUUACAAAGUGAAAAAACUAGGUUGGCCUUAGCUGUACAAGCUUGUGAAGCAGCAGUGGCCAGUAUUUCUAGGCCUAGUAGUCCUGUAGAAUCAAAUAAUUCUCAGAUUCCCGAACAAGAAAUUGCUAUUAGAUUGCGCUUAGAAGAAUAUCUUGAUCAGGUAAGUUGUAAUGGUUUGAUAUAAUGUCGAUCAUAAGUAUUCUUUUACAUAUUAAUACUUUUUAAGUUAUUUGUUAUUAAUAUUAUAGUAAUUUGUAUUGUUAAUAAAUAAUUGUUUUUUUUUUUUUAUUUCACCUAUUUGUUUAUGUAUCUCUUAUUUAAUAAUGCUAAUGUUUUGUAGUUAAUUAUAACAAAGUAGUGUUGUUUUUAUGUUGUGUGCUAUAUAGAAAAAUAAACUAGUACCAAAAGCAUUUAAAUCAUUGCUACCAAUGCUUGAACACUUAGAAGACACAGGCAUACCUAAAAUUUUAUUUACAUUUACUGGACAUGUAAGUAAUUUUUUAAUUUUUAUCAAUACUAGAAACAAUAAUUUUUAUUUCCAGUAGGCCAUUUUAGAUAGGUUUAUAAUAAAGAUGCUUAGUAUUGCGUUAAUUUGUGUUUUUUUUUAAAUUUUUUUUUAACAAAUUUAAUAGAAUCUAAAAAUGUUUAAAAUAAAUAUAAAACCACCACUAAUUAUUACACUCAUAGGCCACUAUGAGACACUAUGGAUACUAUUUCUAAAUAAAGAAACAAUAUUAAUUUUAUUUCUUUAGGUACAAAACUUGGUAGAUGAGUUGGUUAAUAUGACAUCAGUUUUGGAAAAUAAACAAAACCAGCGCUCUAGAAUUUAUGAAUGGAUUGAAGAAGAAUUGGCUAUUUUGAAUAAAAUGAAGGAAAAACUAACUAGGAUUAAUGUAGAAACAACUGCUCAAGAAAUUAAUAAUUUAAAUGAAAUGUUACAAAAUAUUAGUGAAAAACAAAUCGAAAUAUCCGAAAUAGUAUCAGAUAAUUCAUCUGAUAAACUUUAUAAUGAUUUAAACAAUUUGACAAAUAUGGUAAAUCAAUCAAUUACAAUUUGUUUAAAUUAAUAUAUUUCUUUAUAAUAUUAAUAUUAAAUAUCAUUAUUAUAUAGUUUAUAUUAAUUUAACUUAUGAAUUAAUAUAAAUAUAUUAAAUAUAUAGUAUUAUUAUAAUAUAUGUAUAAUAAAACUAUGUAAUACAAUAAUGCAUUACACAGUGAAGUAUUAGUAUUUAAUAUUUGAAUAUUAUAGUAAAAUCAUAAAUUUGUAAAUUAAAAUGUAUAUUAUGUAUAUGAGGUCUUAUGAGAAUUAAUUUAUAAUUUCCCCUGUUUUUUAUAGACAAGUGAAAUACUUUUGAAAAAACAAUCUGAUCAAAAAUUAUUAUUAGAUUUUAAAAAUAGCGAAACAGAUUUACAAAAUUGGUUUGAUAAUUUAUCAAAAUGUAUUGAAUCCUUGGAAAAAGGUAGUGGAUAUACUUGUCAACAAAAAUUAGAACUAUUUAAUGAACUUAAAGAAAACUAUGUUAAUAAUGGAGAAAAACUUGUCAAUAGUUUAAGAACUAACUCUCAAAAUUUAAAAGUAGUAGUCAGUAUAGUAGAUGCUCAACUACUUGAAGAUCAGGUAGCCUGCUUAUUUAUUUAUAAUUUGUAUUGUAUUUUGUUAUUGAUCAGGGCCGGAUUUGACGGGGGGGCAUUAAGGGUAUAUGCUCCGGGCGCCCAAAUUUUAGGGGCCCCAACACUCAAAUCAAAAAAAAUAAAAAAAUUGCAAUUUGGGUUCUCAAACUAUAUUUAAAAAAAAAUAUAGUUUUGAAAAUAAAAAUUAUUAGGUAUAAAAUAUAAAUUAAAUUGUAUUACAAUAUACUACAGUCGUUAUUAUUGCAUUAUCACGGUGACAUAAAGUUGCGAAUUGAAUAAUUACAUGUGUAUGUUUAUAAAAAUCAUAAUGUAAUCUAUCACAAAUCACAAUGUAAAAUGUUGGAAAAUUCAAGACGUCAUAAUCAUUAUCGGCUUAUCGUUGUUUAUAGCUUUUAUGCCUUUAUUGUGAAUUAUUUAUUAUUUUGUACAUUCCACUUUUCGACUAAAUCUCGUUAUUUCAUUAUAAUCAGCCAAGAAUACUCAUGGGCCUGUACUGUAUAUAUUUUUAUUAAUAAAAUAAAUAAUAUAUUACUGUAUGACUUGUUCAAUUUAUUUAACAUAAAUAGUUAUUUUUAGUUCUAACUAUAAAUAUAUUUUACGCAUGGUAUAAGUUUAGGUAGGUAUGCAAUUUUUGUUAUGGACCAUUUAGGGCCCCAAAAUAUUUUUGCCCUGGGCCCCCUAAUGUUUAAAUUCGGCCCUGUUAUUGAUACAAUAUUUAUUGAAAUUUAUUAUACCUAUAUUUUAAAAAUUAUUAACUACAGAAUUGAAAUUAAAUUACCUAACUUAUUUUGAUUACAGAUGAAAUCGGCUGAUCGACGGUAUAGAGAUUUUUGGACAAGAAUGGAAAGAAAAUAUGAAAUUUUAGAAAAUUCAAAAACUAAUCUACUUUACGUUAGAUCUAAAAUAGAAGAAAUUGCAGAUUGGAUAAAUAAAAAAACAGAUAACUUAAAUGAAAAUAAAAUAAUAAGUUAUGAGAGUAACAUAAUUGAAAAAAAUUUGAUUGAUUUGAAAAACAUGAACAAAAAAGCAAAAACAAACAAAAUUUUCUUAACCGAUUCUCUAGCAGUCAAACUUAAUGCAAUAGAGCUUGAAUCAGAACCAAUUGAAUUCAAUGACCUUGAAGAAAAAUUGUAUAAACCCACAGUUAACAAAUUAGACAAUUUAAUAACAAGUAAUUAUAAAUAUUUUUAAUAUUAUUUUAAAAAUAAUAAUAAAUUUUAUAUUUUUGAAUAUUUUUGUUCUAGGAAUAAAUGAAAACUUAUUUAAAACUAAAAACAUGCAUGAAGCCAGUCAAAAGUUUGAAAAUACACUUAAUGAGUGUAAUCUCUGGUUAGAUCGUAGUGAAAAAGAUCUUUCACCAGAUAAAUAUAAAGUUGAACCUUUAGAAUUGAUUCAAGCAGAGA